CCUACGGGCGGCAGCAGUGGGGAAUAUUGGACAAUGGGGGCAACCCUGAUCCAGCCAUGCCGCGUGUGUGAAGAAGGCCCUCGGGUUGUAAAGCACUUUCAGUGAGGAAGAACGCCUGGUGGUUAAUACCCAUCAGGAAAGACAUCACUCACAGAAGAAGCACCGGCUAACUCCGUGCCAGCAGCCGCGGUAAUACGGAGGGUGCGAGCGUUAAUCGGAAUUACUGGGCGUAAAGCGCGCGUAGGUGGCUUGAUAAGCCGGUUGUGAAAGCCCCGGGCUCAACCUGGGAACGGCAUCCGGAACUGUCAAGCUAGAGUGCAGGAGAGGAGGGUAGAAUUCCCGGUGUAGCGGUGAAAUGCGUAGAGAUCGGGAGGAAUACCAGUGGCGAAGGCGGCCUUCUGGACUGACACUGACACCGAGGUGCGAAAGCGUGGGUAGCAAACAGGAUUAGAUACCCUAGUAGUC
rnacentral:rRNA from 1 species